GAUGAAGAACGUAGCGAAAUGCGAUACGUAAUGUGAAUUGCAGAUUUCAGUGAAUCAUCGAAUCUUUGAACGCACAUUGCGCCCCUUGGUAUUCCGAGGGGCAUGCCUGUUCGAGCGUCAUUAUAACCCUCAAGCUCAGCUUGGUGUUGGGGCCUGCUGCACUGGCAGCCCUUAAAAUCAGUGGCGGCGCCAUCUGGCUCUAAGCGUAGUAAUUCUUCUCGCUAUGGAGUCCUGGUGGAUGCUUGCCAUCAACCCCCAAUUUUUCUAUGGUUGACCUCGGAUCAGGUAGGGAUACCCGCUGAACUUAAGCAUAUCAAUAAGCGGAGGA
rnacentral:misc_RNA from 1 species